rnacentral:rRNA from 1 species
GACGUAGGGCGCGAGCGUUGUCCGGAUUUAUUGGGCGUAAAGAGCUCGUAGGUGGUUCGGUAAGUCGGAUGUGAAAUCUCCAGGCUCAACCUGGAGGGGUCAUUCGAUACUGCCGUGACUAGAGGUCGGUAGGGGAGUGUGGAAUUCCUGGUGUAGCGGUGAAAUGCGCAGAUAUCAGGAGGAACACCGGUGGCGAAGGCGGGUCUCUGGGCCGAUACUGACGCUGAGGAGCGAAAGCGUGGGGAGCGAACAGG